GACGAACGCUGGCGGCGUGCUUAACACAUGCAAGUCGAACGGAAAGGCCUCAUCUUUCUUGGGUACUCUAUUGGCGAACGCGUGUGUAUCACGUGUGUGAUCUCCCUUUCACUCUCUGAUAUCCUUUGGAAACUGGGUCUAAUACCGGAUAUGAUCUGCCUUUAGUUUGGUUGUUGUAAAGUUUUUUCGGUGCAAGAUGAGCUCGCGGGCUAUCAGCUUGUUGGUGGGGUAAUGGCCUACCAAGGCGUCGACGGGUAGCCGGCCUGGGGGGGUGUACGGCGAAAUUGGGAAUGAGAGAAGGCACAGACAGGGAAGGGGGGAAGAAGGGGGGAAGAAUGAAAAAUGGGAGGAAGGCUGAUGAAGAGAGGCGGAGUGGGGGAAGACGGGGUUAGGGUUGAAAAAAAAAUGGGAAAGGGAAGAAGCAUGUUGUGACGGUAACUGAAAAAGAAGCAACGGCUAACUACGUG
rnacentral:rRNA from 1 species